UACGGAGGGUGCAAGCGUUGUUCGGAAUCACUGGGCGUAAAGGGCGUGUAGGCGGUCCGCUAAGUCUGAUGUGAAAGCCCGAGGCUUACCCUCGGAAGUGCAUUGGAGACUGGCGGACUGGAGUCCCGGAGAGGAGGGUGGAAUUCCUGGUGUAGCGGUGAAAUGCGUAGAUAUCAGGAGGAACACCGGUGGCGAAGGCGGAUCUCUGGGCCUUACCUGACGCUGAGGCGCGAAAGCUAGGGGAGCAAACAGG
rnacentral:rRNA from 1 species